GGUAUAAGGAAUGCACAAAUUAGUUUUCCUGUGACAGCAUGCAGAGCACUUUUCCAAGCCCUGUCACCUGUCCUUAGUUCCUCUGAACUAUACAGAGGAACAGAUCAAUAUAAAUGCAGAAGAGAAAAGAUGAGAUCAGCUGAUUUUGGUGUUGAUAUCGGUAAUAUCUGAUUUACAUUCAGUUUUCAUGUGGGAUCUCUGUGCCUGGCUUGGUUUAAUGAUUCAAAGUGACAAUACAGUCAACUUCUGAGAAAAUGACUAGAUCUAUGGAAAAUUGAAAGUUUAAAAUAUUUUCUUCCUCCUAACUUUGAAGAGGACUUGUUUCAUGUCAAAUCUGCCUGUUCAUCUGCCUGUCCGUCCACUCACUCUUUAUCCAUGGAUCUUAGUGUCAGCUUCUGAGAUGGUAAUGAAUUCAAAACCCUUCUGUUCCCACUCUCAUAUUAAAGGUUCAAAAAUC
rnacentral:lncRNA from 1 species